rnacentral:rRNA from 1 species
GACAGAGGAUGCAAGCGUUAUCCGGAAUGAUUGGGCGUAAAGCGUCUGUAGGUGGCUUUUUAAGUCCGCCGUCAAAUCCCAGGGCUCAACCCUGGACAGGCGGUGGAAACUACCAAGCUGGAGUACGGUAGGGGCAGAGGGAAUUCCGGUGGAGCGGUGAAAUGCGUAGAGAUGUGGAGGAACACCGAUGGCGAAGGCAGCCCCUGGGUCAAGAUUGACGCUCAUGCA